rnacentral:lncRNA from 1 species
GAUGUGGAUGAUCCAAUUCCCUUUUAUAAGCAAAUUAAAAGUAGGUGUAUGAAUGUUUAUUUAUUUGUUUAUAACUCAACUUAACGCCCGAUUUUGAUAUCGAGUUUUAAAAAAUAUACAAGUAAAUAGAUUACCACGAAAAUCACGUGUUUGCUAUUAUGUGUGUGUAAAUGUUAGCUUCUGUUGUCGUCCAUGCAAUGUUCUCAUAAUUGUAGUAUAGAUACAACAAAUAAACUAGAAAAAUCACUUUUAGGGCAAUAAAUAUAAUUUUAAGGUUCAUGUGGACCCUAUGUCUAAAAUGGCCGUAUUUUCACCUCAAAAUUUACUCUGAGUACAGACAAACCUGUGCAUCUGUAAAAAAUUUCAGGCAUAGCAUGCUCUAGAUAAAUAAAUUUCAAAUAUGUUUUAUGUUUUAGAAAAAAAAACUACCAGGAUUUUGCCGUGCACUUUUUUAAUUCCUCCAGAAGAUGCCAAAAUAAACUAAGUUGGGAAACAGGUUUGAGAACUUCCCGACAGGUAAUUAUUGAAGUGAGCUGUUUUGUUUGACAUGAACAUGAGCUGGACAAUAGAUACCUGACAAUAAACUGUGUAUCUGAGUGGACCAUAUCAAGGUAAACUCAACUGUUUGUUAAUUUUAUCAUCUUCGGCAGGGACGAAAGAAAUGUACGGUAAAAUCCAGUUAAAUUAUGAAUUUUCUAAAUCAUACAAUGCAUUUGAAUUCUAUUUAUCUAGGGCAUGCUAUGCCUAAAAACUUUUCCAAAUGCACAGUUUUGCCUGUAAUGCACAGGUUUGCCUGUACUCAGAGUAAAUUUUGAGGUGAAAAUACGGUUAUUUUAGCCAUAGGGUCCACAUGAACCUUAAGUCCAGAUUUGACAUACAAGAAGCAAGUAUGUAAACACAAAUAAUACAUACAUUGAACAAUUAUUCAACAUUACCAAACGAACAACUUGUAUAUCACAAAUGAAAGUAAUAAAAAAUGUGCACGCCAUUUCCUUUCCCCCUCUCUUUUCCCUUCAUUAUUAUUAUUUAAGCACGUAAAUAAUCAACUGAAUAAUAACCCAUACAGUACUUGCAACCUUAGGCGUUACUAUUUCAGCGAUCAAUCAGCGGUCAUCGAUCAGUCACCGAUCAGUCAAGUUCGCGUCAAACUCACGUCAGCAAUCCGUCAGACUUAUAGUAAAAUUAAUUGACUGAUCGGACUGAUCGGACGGAUAGUACCGAUCGACCUUGAUGACGGAUUGAACUUUAAUACGUCACAUGAUGAACUAAUACAAAUUACGGAAUCUUAGUUUCGUUUAAUUUUUAUUAAAAUGGCGACUCGUGAAAAUCGAACGUUCAAUGAUACAUUUUGUUUAUUAAUUAUUUAGCAAAGUUUUAUGAAUUGAAAUGAAAAGAAAUGUACAGAUAAAACCUAAAUUAAAAUAUCAUCAUUAAAUAAUGGUCUUUUUCGUUUUAUUUAGGUUAUAUAUUUUCAAACCCGGCGAGUGUCUACAUCGCGAAAUUGAUUUUAUUAUUUUC